rnacentral:rRNA from 1 species
GCUCCAAUAGCGUAUAUUAAAGUUGUUGCAGUUAAAAAGCUCGUAGUUGGAUUUCUGGUUUGAGCGUCCGGUCGAGUUAUCUCUGUACUAUGGAUGUUUGAGCCAUAUUUUGUGAGGAUGCCUUUCUGCCAUUGAGUUGGUGGUUGGGUAGACUUGCAUCGUUUACUGUGAAAAAAUUAGAGUGUUUAAAGCAGGCGUUU